rnacentral:lncRNA from 1 species
UAAUUUGAAUGAUAAUCUCAUUUUGCUCUCUUAAAUGAAGACGAUUAUAGAAAAUGAUGAUCGAUGACUCACCCGAUAAGGUCACGUCUGGGAGAUGGCACAGGGCUUGAGAAAAUAUGCCACAUGGGCUUAUUCUGCUUUACGAAGCAUCGCAGAAAUUUAUUUUCACUUCGAAGAAAGUGCAUCAUUAACUGCUUAGCCAUUAACUCCUGGGAAGCGUUGAUUGGUGAUUGAUGUGGCUGCUAGCACUUAUAAAUAGGGAACCAAAGAGCAAAGGGAUCUUCACUUCUCCUUCUAUGGCAGGAAGUCUUGUUUUUCGAUUGUUGUUAUAUCGUUGCCUUCGAAUCUGCCAUCUUUAGUGCAAAUCAAGCAACGGAUGAGAGAGCGGAAUGAUUUUGCAAGAAAUGCCCAUCGAAGGCAUGUUGCUCAUGAAAGGGAGAGAGUUAUGCCGAUCGGUGCAUCCUCUUCUCAUGGGGUCCCCCUUUCUCCCAGAGAUGCCGCUCCAAGGAUGACGCCGGCAUCACCGUCACCACCUUCUCCACCUGAGCACAUCCCGCCAGCAGUUCAGGAGUGCUGUAUUAUGAAAUUUUGAAAUUCUACGAUGUUUAGGAGGGAAUUGCUUGAUGUUGCCACCGCCACCUUGAUCUAGUGCUUCGAUAAUUGCAAGGCCCGUUUGCAGAAGAUAAUGAUGUAUCUAGAACUUCACGGUAUAUAGACUGGCG